rnacentral:rRNA from 1 species
UACGUAGGUGGCAAGCGUUGUCCGGAAUUAUUGGGCGUAAAGAGCGUGUAGGCGGCCUGACAAGUCUGCUGUGAAAACUCGAGGCUCAACCUCGAGAUGUCGGCGGAAACUGUCUGGCUAGAGUCCGGAAGAGGAGAGUGGAAUUCCUGGUGUAGCGGUGAAAUGCGCAGAUAUCAGGAAGAACACCUAUGGCGAAGGCAGCUCUCUGGGACGGUACUGACGCUGAGACGCGAAAGCGUGGGGAGCGAACAGG